UCCCUCUCUUACAUUUGACAUGCAUAACACCAGCUAUGCUAAGUAUUCUUAGUAGGACAUCCAUUUUUUAUUGGACAGCUUUUAAAGAAUCUAAUGAGACUAUAGAUCUUUAAGGUACCAGUUUAGGAAUUAUUUGAAGCCCAUUUUUGUGUCUACUAAUUCUGGGAUAUACACUUUGGUGAUUGGUUGUCUUGCUUCUAUUUUUAUGAUAAUAAAUCUGCAUCAAUUUUUAGUUGCAGGCUCAAACAGCUUAUCCUUAUCCGGACCCAUACUAUAGGAGCAUCUUUGCACCAUACGAUGCACAGCCUUAUCCUACACAACCUUAUCCAGCACAACCAAUGG
rnacentral:lncRNA from 1 species